rnacentral:rRNA from 1 species
GACGUAGGGCGCGAGCGUUGUCCGGAUUUAUUGGGCGUAAAGAGCUCGUAGGCGGCUUGUCGCGUCGUUCGUGAAAACCUGCAGCUCAACUGCAGGCUUGCGGUCGAUACGGGCAGGCUAGAGUUCGGUAGGGGAGACUGGAAUUCCUGGUGUAGCGGUGAAAUGCGCAGAUAUCAGGAGGAACACCGGUGGCGAAGGCGGAUCUCUGGGCCUUACCUGACGCUCAGGCGCGAAAGCUAGGGGAGCGAACUGG